UACGUAGGCAGCAAGCGUUGUUCGGAGUUACUGGGCGUAAAGGGUGUGUAGGCGGUUGGAUAAGUGUGGUGUGAAAUCUCCCGGCUCAACUGGGAGGGUGCGCUACAAACUGUCUGACUAGAGUGCGGGAUGGGAAAGUGGAAUUCCUGGUGUAGCGGUGAAAUGCGCAGAUAUCAGGAGGAACACCGGUGGCGAAGGCGGGGUCUCUGGGCCGAUACUGACGCUGGAGGAGCGAAAGCGUGGGGAGCGAACAGG
rnacentral:rRNA from 1 species